AGGCAGCAGUAGGAAUAUUGGUCAAUGGGCGCAAGCCUGAACCAGCCAUGCCGCGUGCAGGAAGAAUGCCCUCUGGGUUGUAAACUGCUUUUAUUUGGRAAUAAACCUUUCUACGUGUAGAAAGCUGAAGGUACUAAAUGAAUACAGCACCGGCUAACUACCGUGCCAGCAGCCGCGGUAAUA
rnacentral:rRNA from 1 species